rnacentral:rRNA from 2 species
UGGAUCCAGACUUUGAUCAUGGCUCAGGAUGAGCGCUAGCUACAGGCUUAACACAUGCAAGUCGAGGGGAAACGACAUCGAAAGCUUGCUUUUGAUGGGCGUCGACCGGCGCACGGGUGAGUAACGCGUAUCCAACCUGCCCAUCACUUGGGAAUAACCUUGCGAAAGUAAGACUAAUACCCAAUGACAUCCCACGAAGACAUCUGAAUGGGAUUAAAGAUUUAUCGGUGAUGGAUGGGGAUGCGUCUGAUUAGCUUGUUGGCGGGGUAACGGCCCACCAAGGCAACGAUCAGUAGGGGUUCUGAGAGGAAGGUCCCCCACAUUGGAACUGAGACACGGUCCAAACUCCUACGGGAGGCAGCAGUGAGGAAUAUUGGUCAAUGGGCGAGAGCCUGAACCAGCCAAGUAGCGUGCAGGAUGACGGCCCUAUGGGUUGUAAACUGCUUUUAUAAGGGAAUAAAGUGAGUCUCGUGAGACUUUUUGCAUGUACCUUAUGAAUAAGGACCGGCUAAUUCCGUGCCAGCAGCCGCGGUAAUACGGAAGGUCCGGGCGUUAUCCGGAUUUAUUGGGUUUAAAGGGAGCGUAGGCCGGAGAUUAAGCGUGUUGUGAAAUGUAGUGGCUCAACCUCUGCACUGCAGCGCGAACUGGUCUUCUUGAGUACGCACAACGUGGGCGGAAUUCGUGGUGUAGCGGUGAAAUGCUUAGAUAUCACGAAGAACUCCGAUUGCGAAGGCAGCUCACGGGAGCGCAACUGACGCUGAAGCUCGAAAGUGCGGGUAUCGAACAGGAUUAGAUACCCUGGUAGUCCGCACGGUAAACGAUGGAUGCCCGCUGUUGGCCUGAAUAGGUCAGCGGCCAAGCGAAAGCAUUAAGCAUCCCACCUGGGGAGUACGCCGGCAACGGUGCAACUCAAAGGAAUUGACGGA